CUACGGGAGGCUGCAGUGGGGAAUAUUGGACAAUGGGGGAAACCCUGAUCCAGCAAUGCCGCGUGUGUGAAGAAGGCCUGCGGGUUGUAAAGCACUUUCGGUUGGGAGGACUGCUUCUAGCACUAAUAUUGUUGGAAGUUGACGUUACCUUCAGAAGAAGCACCGGCUAACUCCGUACCAGCAGCCGCGGUAAUACGGAGGGUGCAAGCGUGAAUCGGAAUUACUGGGCGUAAAGCGCGCGUAGGCGGCUAGAUCAGUCGGGUGUGAAAGCCCCGGGCUUAACCUGGGAACUGCAUCCGAUACUGUCUAGCUUGAGUACAGGAGAGGAGAGUGGAAUUCCACAUGUAGCGGUGAAAUGCGUAGAUAUGUGGAGGAACACCAAUGGCGAAGGCAGCUCUCUGGCCUGAUACUGACGCUGAGGUGCGAAAGCGUGGGGAGCAAACAGGAUUAGAUACCCGCGUAGUC
rnacentral:rRNA from 1 species